rnacentral:rRNA from 1 species
AUUGAACGCUGGCGGCAGGCCUAACACAUGCAAGUCGAGCGGAUGAAGGGAGCUUGCUCCUGGAUUCAGCGGCGGACGGGUGAGUAAUGCCUAGGAAUCUGCCUGGUAGUGGGGGAUAACGUCCGGAAACGGGCGCUAAUACCGCAUACGUCCUGAGGGAGAAAGUGGGGGAUCUUCGGACCUCACGCUAUCAGAUGAGCCUAGGUCGGAUUAGCUAGUUGGUGGGGUAAAGGCCUACCAAGGCGACGAUCCGUAACUGGUCUGAGAGGAUGAUCAGUCACACUGGAACUGAGACACGGUCCAGACUCCUACGGGAGGCAGCAGUGUGGAAUAUUGGACAGUGGGCGAAAGCCUGAUCCAGCCAUGCCGCGUGUGUGAAGAAGGUCUUCGGAUUGUAAAGCACUUUAAGUUGUGAGGAAGGGCAGUAAGUUAAUACCUUGCUGUUUUGACGUUACCAACAGAAUAAGCACCGGCUAACUUCGUG